ensembl:miRNA
AGCUCCGUUAUAAUCUAUAGGACCACAUAUACAGCGGUGGUCCUAUAGGAUUAUAACGGAGCUGA